ACGUAGGGAGCGAGCGUUGUCCGGAAUCAUUGGGCGUAAAGCGCGCGUAGGCGGCCCGAUAAGUCCGCUGUGAAAGUCAACGGCUCAACUGUUGAAAGCCGGUGGAUACUGUCGGGCUAGAGUACGGAAGAGGCAAGUGGAAUUCCUGGUGUAGCGGUGGAAUGCGUAGAGAUCCGGAGGAACCCCGGUGGCGAAGGCGACUUGCUGGGCCUGAACUGACGCUCAGACGCGAAAGCAUGGGGAGCGAACGG
rnacentral:rRNA from 1 species